UACGAAGGGGGCUAGCGUUGUUCGGAAUUACUGGGCGUCAAGCGCGCGCAGGCGGUUCUUCAAGUCAGAGGUGAAAGCCCAGAGCUCAACUCUGGAAUGGCCUUUGAGACUAGAGAACUAGGGUACGGGAGAGGUGAGUGGAAUUCCGAGUGUAGAGGUGAAAUUCGUAGAUAUUCGGAAGAACACCAGGGGCGAAGGCGGCUCACUGGCCCGUUACCGACGCUCAGGCGCGACAGCGUGGGGAGCAAACAGG
rnacentral:rRNA from 1 species